UAGCUCAAUGGUAGUGCACUUGCCUGGCAGGCAAUGAAUCUGGGUUCAACCCCCAG
rnacentral:tRNA from 1 species